GUUUUGGCCUCUCCUGUGGUUGGGCUCUGAGAAGCUUGGACUUCAGAGGAAAGAAGCCUCUCUGCCCACAAAGCUCUCACAGAAUUUGGGGGCACAGGCAGGAGGUGAGAGCCGCUGUGCCUUUUCUCCCAAACGCAUUGCUGAGUAACAAAGGCCCAGGGCCUGAGGAGGGCACGUGGCUCAGAGAGACCCUGCAGAGAGGACAAACAGACUGAAGACAGACGGCAGGAUUGGGGCCUUGAAUCUUACUCUUCAGCUGGGACCUGGGGGUGCGCCAGGCCACCACCUCAUCCACUGGGGACAGGAGCCAGAAUCCAGAGAAGAUGAGGAGGGAGUGGCAUGUAGGCUUUCCAAAGAGAAAACUUCUAUCUUUUCGUCUUUAAGUUCAGCAAGGACAGAGGGAGAAAGACUGAUAUGACUCCAAGAAGUAUUGUGGUUAGAUCGCAGGAAGAACCAACAGCAAGGAAUGAUGGAGAUUCCUGCUCUCUCUGCAACAUUCCAGACCCUUCUUAGAUCCAGUCUCACUCCUAUAGUCCAGGGUGCCCUCCCUCCCUACCCCCUUGCCCAGCCCAGCCCAACUACCCUCUCUCUGUUCAGUGCAGGAAUUGAAGGCGGCAGGCCUGUCCUUACGCUCCCAGUGACUGGGGUCCUUAACUAUCGUCCAUCUCUCCCCCAGAGACCCAGAUGUCUAGCCCAGUUGGCCCAGAGAGCACACAGAAAGUGGGCUGGGAAAGUGGGAAGGGCAGUCUGGAUUGACUUUGUUUUCCCCACCUUUGACCAACACACCCAGUUGGGCUGCAGCUGAUCUAUGGUGUGUGGAGGGAGGUGGGAACCUAGAUUUUUGGAAAUGUGGGAUUUGGGUUUCACACGAAACCAUUUGUUGAAAUCCAAGAAAGUGAUAAUUAUCCCUAGCGAUUUUAGAA